AAAACCCAAUACAUUUAUGCCAUUUGGCAGUGGAGUACACGCUUGUCCAGGGAACGAACUUGCCAAGCUGGAAAUUCUAAUUAUGACUCAUCAUCUUGUCACUAAGUUCAGGUGGGAAGUGGAAGGAUCUAAUAGUGGGAUUCAAUAUGGACCAUUUCCUGUUCCAGUGGGUGGACUACCAGCAAGAUUUUGGAAAGAAUCUACCACUUCAACCUAAAGGCACUGAGCAGCAGAAACAAAAAUGGCUGUUCUGAUUUGCAUAUCUCAAAUGAUUCAUCAAUCUUAUCCAAGAUUGUUGCUCAUCCCCAAGAAAAAAAAAACAACACAUAGGGGAUGAAAGAGAUCUCCAUUUUUCAAUUAGUACUUUCUUACUAUAAUUUUCUUUUUACUACUAAAGGUAUUCUUAAUUUUGAGUACCUUUACAGCUAGCAUUUUGUACCAUUUCAAUUUGCAAGAAUUGGAAUUCAUAAAGUGUAAAAAUUUGAUUUGAGCUUUGAAUCAUUCAUUCUUUUAGUA